UUACAGGCAUGAGCCACUGUACCUGGCCACAAGCACAUUUUUAAAAGGCAGCAUGAACCAAAUCUUCAUCUGAGGGAUUUGGUAAAGUUUUUUUCCAAAACCAAGAAAAGCCCAGUUUGGUCAUUUACCCAGCAGCUGCAGAGCACUUCUAAAAUAAUCAUUCUCCUCAGUACUUGGAAGGGAAUUUAUGGCAAAGGAGUGUUGGGGGGGCAAACUGCUUCCUUUAGGGGGAUUCUGAACACCUGAUGCAGAAUUAAGUCAGUGUGAAGUCGCAGCUGGAAAUAGCUUCCUGAGCACUUCACACCUGUGGUGCGCUAGGUAUAGGCGGUGCUGCUUUUGGCUGGAGACUUUAGGAAGCAAAUAGGGAGGAGAAAGGAUAAGCCACUUGCCAUGUUACCUAAAAUUGUGUGACCUAUAGUAGUGUUAUCAUUUUAUGUGAAAAUGUAAGCACAGGUAAGAUGUCGCUAGGAAAAAAAUCAUGUAAACUCUACAGGAACACAACCUAAUGAAGAUUAAAAUUCUUAGGCUUUUAAAAUAAGUGGGGGGAAAAUGAGUAAACUCCAGUAAUAGACUGUUUCAGGGACCUUUUCUCAGCACAGUGAGCCAGACAAUAAUCAGAUUUAUUGGUUGUAGUAAAAGGUUAGGAAGGAAAAGUUCUAGCACGUGCUCUGAGACAACAUAGGCAAGGAUUAAGGAAAAAAAUCAUGUUUUAAUGUUUGGUCCUCAGUCACCUAACUCUACCUCAUGACCUCAAGGACACAGUCCCUGGUUGUGGGGAGAGGGAUGGCAGCCUGGCGUGCUGAAAGUCUCCUGACCACACCAGGUGGCUUCCCUUCCCCAUAAAGUGCUUGACCAGAGUUGCCAUGGCCGGGAGGGUUGGGCCUGUCCCGCAGGGAACUGCAGACAGGAACUUCCAAGGAUGGCCAGCCCCCGAUGCCCUGGGGCAGGCCCCAGCCCUGGAAGCGACAGCAGUGUCACUGCCCCCAGGCCAGCGCUCACCCCGAUGACCCCAGGCUGCAGGGACAGCAGAGUUGACCCAGCCAAGAACGGACUGGUAACCUACUGUGCUGAGUGGGCAAACAAACCCGAAACACAAAACCCAGGGGCUGCUGGGCAACCCUGAGUACUUGUGGAGAAUGAGUCGGAGUCCAGAACCUUCUCUGGGGUGAUGUGGCAGCCGUUUCCCCCUCCUCCUCACUGUGCUUCGAUGGGGCCGUGGGGAGCCCAGGUGUGGGGUAGGCAUCACUGGUCCGUCACUCACUAGCAAGACCCUGCAGGGAACGGUGAGCAGGUAAGUGCACACCCAGCAUGCACUGCCCCCAGGCAAGCCCGGGGUCCACAGUGAGGUAUCUUCCCUGAGCCUUCUGGACAGUCCUUCACAGCUGGGGGCACUCAGGUGGGUCCUAGGCAUGGGACCCAACCCUUCCUUUUAUACAAGGUCAGUUUAAGUCGUGUGUGGAUAUAAAUUUUGUCAUAAUAUCCAUUACCAUGACUAGAGAUGUCACUGACUGAAACAAGGCUAGGUUUUGAAGAGCGAGUCCGCCUGAAGACAAGUAUGAAGUAAACACUAGAACGGUGGUCUAGAGGAGAGCGGAUGCUGAGAACGGCAUGGCUGCCACAGUGGACGACGCGCCGGAAUAGCGCCAGCCUUCGUACCAGGGCCUCCCCAGACAGGCCCAGGGCCCAGGGUUCUUUCACCCCUGGGACAAGAGGCAGGUAAGGUGCUCGGGCAGCCUGCCUGCCGGGAGAACAGGAGGGGCCUACCUGCUCGUAAUCUUCCACAUAUUUAUACUUCUUCUCCCGAUAGUAGUAUCUUUUCUUCAUGCAGUAGAGGACUAUGACAUCACACAGCACUGUCGCCUGAAUGUAGCACAGGGUGAGAAAGAAUGAGCCGGGAUGCUUUUAGCCCCAUUACUCUGUGUGUGUGCCCCUUCCCACACAGCCUGGAAUCUUCCACUGGAAAGGAAAGGCUCCGCCAUCGUCCCAAGGGGCCCAGUCUUGGGAAGGGAAGGUGGAGGAGGGGUGGGGCCAAGGGAAAGCAGCCUACAGGGUCAAGUCUAGACACAAGUUCAGGGUCCAGGACGCCAAGCAGGGUCUCCCCUCACUGAGCUGACUGCUGCUGAGGACGCCCCGGCCCAGCAGGGUGAAGGGAAGGGCCUGCACCACUCACCACCCCCAACAGCGCCAGGCCGGAGCCGAUGUUGAUCAUGGUAGGGAUGAUGUCAAAUUUCCCAGCCUGCGAAGACAGGAGAAAAAGAAGGUCCUGCCCCAAGCUUGAGGUUUCCACAGUGGUUUCUAUGAGAACUGUGGUCGAGAUGCAGCAACACAGAUGUAACUGCUAGGGGAAAAUGCCAACAAUGUCUGCCCUGCUCUCAGUGAGCCACACGAUUCAAAAGGACAGCAGAUCCUGCCUUUUCCGAAAUUUCUUACUCUCCCAUUUGUAUCUGAUGCCGUGCAUCACCGCUAGGGGGAGACAAGUGCAACACAAUAGAGCUGCUGACCGACUCCAACAGCCUUGCAGGGCCUAUUUUUCAGAGUGGCCACGUGUGUGAAAAAUUUAGCAAAGGGCCUGUGGAAAUGGAUGUGGCUGCAGAUUUUGCUGCCUCAAGGAAACGGCAAAUGUGACCCUGGCCCAGCCCUCUCCUCAGAUUACCAGCUGCGCAGGGUUGAACAGGGUCCCCCCAGAUUCACAGCUACCUGGAACCUGUGAAUGUGACCUUAUUUGGAAAUAGGGUCUUUGCAGAUGCAAUUAGUUAAGAUGAGGUCAUACUGGAGUAGGGUGGGCCCUAAAUCCAGUGACUGACGUCCUCAUAGGAAGAGGAGACACAUACAGACAAGCACAGAGGGAUGAGGUUUCAUGUAACAGAGGCAGAGACUGGAGUGACGAAUCUACGAGCCAAGGGACCCCUCUGGCCACUACAAACUGGAAGAGACAAGGAAGGAUUCUACCCUAGACCCUGCAGGGUGAGCGUGGCCCUGCAGCCACCUGUAUUUUAGAUUUCUGGCCCCCAAAACUGUGAGAGGAUAAAAUCCUGCUGCUUCAAGCCACCCAGUUUGUGGUGCUGGUACAGCAGCCCAGGAAACUGUUACACCAGAUUUCAGCAGGACACCAGCGAAGGCCUUUCUUGAGCCUAAAAACCUGUUUCCCCUCCCCUCUGGAGAUUCUGGGGUAGGCUCAGCCUUCGAGAAGCCAAUUCCUGGGCCCCAGAGGCCUUUGGACCAGAGGAUCACAGGAUCAGCCGCACCUCGAAACAGCGAGUGGAGGUCAUGGCGGAGGCUGGCCCUGGACAGCUCAAGUGGCCGGCCUCUCCUGGCUGCGCUGCAAAUAGUCUCAACACGUUUCUUGCGACGGAAGGGCAAGGAAGGCUCUUGGGCUGGGAUGCCACUGGGGCAAGAUGCUCCUUGGAGCACUUUCCCUGGCAUGGCCUUCCCGCCUUAGAUGGGGGACGGGCAGCCUGCUGUUGGGGUGCUGCCUGAGUGCUGGAUGCCCCCACUGGAGAGUGACCAGCCACCAGCACCCCGCACUACACACGAGUGAUGGGGCCCAAGCUCAUGCCCACCUAAAAUUGUAGCCAGGAGACACGUUGUGGUCGACGUCCCGGGUGUCGAGGCGGCGGAAGGAGUACUUGGGCAGGCAGAGGGCAGCGGCUCUGUCCAGGUUGCAGUUCCAAUUGACUUGGAUGCCCAUGAUGCCCCCCUGGGAGUGACGCAGGGACAGCAAGACUCUCAUCAGCGCUGGCUCUGGUGCAAGACACGUCCUGUCAUUCUGGGAAAGCCGGGGCCUGCACCUACCUCGACAGCCAUGUCCUGGAAGCUGUGUCCUGCGUUCUCCACUAUGUCACCGAGACGGAAUAUGGGGCAGAAGGGAUCUGUUUUAGCAUCAUAAAUGCACGAUUUGAGGUAAGCAGUGGUGAUGUUGGGAAGGAUAUUCCUCCUGAAGUCGGGAGCAAGCAGAAAAUCAGAGCGAGGAAAACCUCAGAGAAGAGCCAGAAGUUUCUCCAAGACAUAGACGCACUCGCACACCUGGCCAACACUUACUUGGUGAAAUUAAAUUUGGGAUACCAGAUGUUGUUUUUAACCAAAAGAGUGAAGUUUUCUGCAGCCCUUAAAAAAGCAGGUCUGAAAAAAAUUAUAACGUAUUGUUAAUAAAAGUACAAAUAUCUAUAUAG